AUGCCUGGAUGGAAACUUGCUCUAAAAGCCAUUGACCGGGUAGCUUCUGGGGGGACCAUCCCCUGAAACCAAGAAGGCCUUUGCUAAUUCCCUGAAAUCCUGGCACGAGUCCUUCAACUUGGUUACUCUGCCUGAGAAGCCACCUGCCGUCGACUGGGUUUCCUACAUGGCCAACGUGGCAAAGUCUGGCUUGGUGGGUGACUCUGAGAAGAAGUUUAAUGCCCUGAAAGUUCCUGUGCUGGAGGAUAAAUUAUACUGCCAAGGUGGAUCCUGAGGAAAAAGAAGAUAUGAAAAGUUGUGCUGAGUUUUUGUCUCUCUCAAAGACCAGGAUUCAGGAAUAUGAGAAAGAGCUGGAGAAGAUGAGGAACAUAAUUCCACCUGAUCAGAUGACCAUUGAGGACGUGAAUGAAGUCUUCCCAGAAACCAAAUUAGAUAGGAGGAAGUACCUGUACUGGCCUCAUAAGCCAUUUGAGAAUUUAUAA
rnacentral:lncRNA from 1 species